rnacentral:snRNA from 1 species
UAGGUGAAUGGUGGAAAUC